CUUUCUCCUGGACAAGUCACUUCUCAAGCCAAGAAUGUUUCAGUUCAGGUGCAUGGAGCCAGACACACACUGUUUUGAGCUGCAUUUGCCAAGGUGAGAUCUGGGUUUAAUAACAUCCAUGGACAACCCAUGCAAAAUAAGAAACAGCAGAAAAAAGCAUACUUUGAAGAGCAAAAUAUUUGGGUGAAUUGCCUCUUAUAUUUGGAGAAGCUCAGGACUUGGAAUUCUCUGAAGCAUAAACUAGCUCAUCUUCUUCUCCCCAGAGAACCCGUGAAGUAUUUGCGGAGUAUGGAGAAAGGCAGUGGAAAGUCAUGA
rnacentral:lncRNA from 1 species